rnacentral:snRNA from 1 species
GUGCUCGCUUUGGCAGCACAUUUACUAAAAUUGGAACUAGACAGAGAAGAUUAGCCUGGCUCCUACACGAGGAUGACACACAAAUUUAUGAAGUGUUCCACAUUUUU